AAUUUAAAAACAUUAAACAUAAAAAAUGAGAUCAAAAUAAUACUAAGAGCGUGUUUGGUUCACUUUUCUUCCACCAUGGAAUCGGAAUCGAAAUAGAUAAAUCCAUUUGUAGAUGUUUCGUAUGCGGGAGUCUCAUCCCGAUUCCGAUUUCCACCCCACUCAGCUCUUUUUUCAAUCCGGUCUAAAAGGUUGGAUUAGAAGUUGAAUCCGAACUGAAUGAAUAUUUAUUCGAAUUAAAUUUAUUUUUUUAUUUUUUUAAUUAAGACAUGAAGAAGUAAAAUUGGCCUAACUUAAACACCUAAGUCUAGCUUAACUUUUUCACUCAAAGCCUGCUUGCUAAACAUUUAUGUGAACAUAUACGAUAUUUUGAGUUACGCUCAAUUGUAUUCCGCCAUUUCAAAAUAGAUACUUGAUGUUUAUGAUUGAUACCUUUAAAGCUUCUAUUUUGUUUUAACUCAAAUUAUUCUAGGCUAAACAAGUCGUUGGACGAAAGCACCGACAAAGAAGGAAAGUAAUAAAAAAUAAUGCUCUAAAUUACUAGAUAAAGAAGUGGCGAAAAUAAGGUCGAAUGUGAAUUUAAACAACAAGAAUAUUUACAAUAGUUUAAGAAAAAACAGAGAACUUAAUUGUCAAAUGCCAGCCCCAGUUCAGCAGAAGGCAAUCAGAGAACUUUGAAGACCAUUAUGUGUUUGUUAUCCACAUCAGUUUCAGAUCCAAGUUUCUCAUCAUUUUACAUUUGUAGGAGUGUUAAAAAAAAAAAAACAAAAACAAAAUUCUAUAAAAUGUCCUUCUAAAACAAUGAAGUGAAGUGACAGAAACGAAAAAAAAAAAAAAAGAGCCAAAAUAAUAGAACCAAGUUUAGCAAUCAGAGAACUUUGAAGACCAUGGAGUAUCCACAUAAGUUUCAGGUCAUGAUGGCGCAUCAUUUUGCUUUCUGAGUAGAAUGUGCUGGGGCGAAACCAAUCCACUUACAGACUAAGUGAAGUAACUCAAACAGAAAAUAUGGAAUCAAUGGAUUAUACAUAUCGAAUAAACUGAUUACAACAAAGGGUUCAAAAAACCAAUGCAAGUCAUCAUAAAUUAACUAAUAUUAUUAUCUCAUUGAAAGCUUCAUGUCAAAAACACAAUACCAACUAUAUUUAUAAGAAUUACAUGUGGGGCGAAAACAUGCUAAGUUGCUAUAACAGUAACACAUUAAGCUCUGAAACAAACAAUUUAAGAAAAAAUAGUGUGGCAAUUUCAGCAAAAGAGAUGAUAAGGGUAACGCGAUUCAAUUACCCCUCUUAUCUAUGCAAGGUCUUUUGCCAAUGCAUGAAUAUUGCACCUGUGAACCAUUUCUCGUAGUUUCCUUGCUACCAUACUCCACGAAGCAAGGGGCUAAUGGUGCGUAAUUACGACAAAAAUCAUCAAAUUUAAACAAAAGCGAAUUGUGCAAAAAUAUAAAAAAAUAGGGAUGAAAUGCAAAAUCAUGCUGAUGACACAGGUAGCCUCAACUGGGGAUUUUUUUUUCCUCCCCCCUGUAAAGCCACUGCUUUAAAUUGCAUCAACAAGAACAAGUCAUUGUUCCCUUCAGCAUCUUUUUUGUAAAAUUGAUACUUUUAGUAUCAAUAUCAUCUAAACACAUUCAACACUAGUUUGCUCUGUGAAUACCAAGAUAGACAUAAAUUACCUCACAAAAUCCAGAAAAAAAGUUUAUUCGGUUUCACUUCACAAAACCAAACUGUGAAUGGCACUAAAAUUUGAAAUCCGUACAAAUUUGACACAAACUAAAAUCGAACCCACAAAAAUUGGAUAGAUCGUAUGAAGAUCAGUUGCUCGCGGCGGCGUCUCUUUCCUGGGAUCUACUUACUAGGGUUAGGGUUUGAGGAUGUGUCGAUUUUGAGCUCUUACGAGUUACAAAUAUAGUAAGCAUGGAAAUGAAUUGGUCCGGGCCAGGGAGUUCAUAGGCUAACGACAUUGCAAGUAGGCCCAUUAUGCUGGGCCUUUUUCAUGUUGGAUUAGUGAGUGUUCGUUGAGACGUGGAUAACUUGGCCUAUUAACGGCCUAUGCACGAAACUAAUGAAUCGGGCUUUGUUUUAUAACGGGCGCUCCAACGUUGGCACGCGCGGGAGAGAGAACCCAACCUUAAGCUAUAACCAUCUAUGCCUGUACAUUAAUUUCUAUGCCUAAAACCGACCGUUCCUAGAACAAGUGGUAAAAGAUUUUGUGGUUGGUAUCUGAAAUUCUAAGUUCGAAUCCUAGUUGAUUCAUAUUUUCAGCUAAUUUUUUUUCAGAAUAAAAUAAAUGAAGCAGGUAGCAUGUUACCUAUCUCUAAAAAAAAAAAAAAUUUAUAUGCCUAAAUUCGACAUGUACUCACCCCUUUAAUUUGGAAAAGAGUUCCAUUUACAUGUUAUGCAACUUCUCUUGAACAAUGUUGAAUAAUUUUGUUGAAACGAUUAAAUUUUUUUCAUUAUAGUUUUAUUUUUUAAAAGUGUUUGUCUAUAAUUAAACAAUAUUUACUAUUUUUUAUACUAAAUGAUAUUUAUUUUAAAUUUUACUUUAAUAAUAUUUACCUACCGUAACGCGCGGGUCACUAUAAUACAUUCAACUGCUAUGGAUAAUUGUGGUAUAACGCAUGGGAUAGAAAAAAAUCUAAUCAUAAACAAUAAAACAAUUUAAAAAGAAUAUAUUCUUAUGCAAUAUAAAAAUAUAUGAUUAGAUAUCACAAAUUCUAUAUAAAUAAUUAUGACAUAGAAUAAUCGUUCCGUACUCUCACAAUAAGGUAGUGGAGUUGACACUGGUAAAUUUUUUGUAAAAAUCUUAUAAAACUUACUGGAACAAUAGAUUUUUUUAUUUUUUUUAUUUACUUGACUAUCCAAUCUUUUAAAAUUUAAAUUUUAAUAUUAAAAUUUUUAAUUUAUUUUAUUUAAGUAAUUUAACUCUUAAAUAUAAAAUUUAAGCUAAAUAUUUAUUUUAAUAAAUUUAUAAUUAUAUAAAUUAUAUAAUAUAUAUAUAAAGUAAACUUGCAAAGAUAAAUGGCACGUUUAAGUAUUAAAGUUAAACAAUCACGAACCGGCUCAAAUUAAAUAAAUUAAAAUAUUAUAUNUUAAUUAUUUAUUUUAAUAAAUUUAUAUCUAUGAAAAUUAUAAAAAUUUUAUGAAAUAUACUAACUAAACAUAUAAAUAUAAACGACGCGUUUAAAGUUUGAAGUCUAAGGAUCAUUAACUAUUUCAAAUCAAAUAAAUUAAAAUAUUAUAUAGUAAAAUUAUUAUUUUUAUAUUUUGAAAAGUCAAAUUAGAAAAGUUUCAUAAUUUGUACCUAAAAUUUUAUAAUAAGAAAAAAAAUAUUUAUUGAAAUUUAUCUUAAUUUAAUUACAAACUGUUUGAAAACGACAAAAACUAUGCAACCUGUAGACAAAGUUGUCCUUGCUGCAGUACAAGAUGCCUCGGUGUCUCGAAUCUUAACCUAUCAAUAUAGUAGUUACAUAAUAUUAUUUACCAUUAAUUGCAUUCAGAUUUUUACAAAUAUAAUAAAUUAUAAAUAUUUUUUUAUAAAAUUUAAUUUUAGAUAUUAUUUUUAUAAAAAUUUUAAUAUUUUUAAAUAUGUCUUUGUAAUUUGUUAUCAUUGGCAUACUAUUUAUUUUAUAAGUUAAAUGAUCUUUUUGUCAUCACAAUUAUAUCCCCAACGGUUAAUUAAAGGGGAUAAAAAUGACAAUUCACUUAUUAACUAAUCGGGAUUAAAUAUUUAAUCUAUGAUUAACUAAAUUUUCUAAAGGAUUCGAACAGCGGGAAUAUAUUUGAAAAUAUUAGAAUUUUUAUAAAGACAAUAUAUAAAAUUAAAACUUUGUAGGGAUAUAUUUGUAAUUUACUAUAUUGGUAAGAAUCUUUGUGCAACUAAUCCUAUUAUUUAUAUUUAGUAAAUUUUUUAAAAAAUAUCAACUAAUUAAUUGAGAUACUAUAUCACUUAUAUAACUCUUUUAUUUUUAAAAUGUAUAAAAACUAUAUAAAAUAAUGAAUGGAUUUCAAGAAAGUAAUCUAAACUGUUAUAUUUUUUAUUUAUUUUUAAAUGAGCGGUCUAUAUUCAUCGACAGUGACUCAUGGGCCCACAUCCCACCUGCCAUUAGUGAAGGAAAAUGAUUCCAUUCUGUCAAACAGUUAAUAAUUAAGCCGCCCUGCAUCAAUCAUUUUGCAUCCUCGUCCUUUAAUAAAAUUAGGCCAUUAAAUUAUUAUAUUAUUUUAUUUUUAUUUAAAAUUAUUUAAAAAAUUUAUAAUAAUAUUUAAUAGUAUUAUUCACAAUGAGUACAGUAGGAUAAAACUAUAUGAACAUCGCCUCUAAACUACUAGUUUGAAAACUAUAAAGAUGAAUUCCGUGUUGGAAGUGUGCCCCAUCCACGAGUGGAACGAAAAAAGAAAAAAAAACUGUACAUCCUUAUUUUUUAAAGAAGAGAAAAAAAAAAAAAGAGAGAUAUUAAAAUUUUAUUAGUUUUAUCUAUUAUUAUAUGUUAUUAUUCUGAUACUUUUUAAUACAAAAUAUAUAUUAUUAUAUUUAUAUAUAUUAAACAGAAGCAACAAAAUAAUGUGCGGAAAAUAACGUAAAUCUAAGCCGGCAACCUUCAAUUAUUAUUAUCAAUCAUGAUUCAUCACUGUCAAUUCAUCAAAUUGAAUAAUAUUCUUAUUCUAAUCUAGUUUGAUUAGUUUUACUAGAUAAAAUUUUAUAUUUUAUGCAAAUUUUUUUUUAUCAUUUUAUCAGAAAAACACUAAUAAUGUCCUUUUUAUUACACAUAAUAAAUUUUAAAAAACACCAGUAAAAUGUCCAUGUCCACAAGGCCCACUCUCAUUCUCUCUCCUCCCCUAUGUCUCCCUUCUUCUCUGGUCUCUACUUUCCAUCCCCUCAAAGGAGAGGAGGAGAAAGAGAGUGCCGAAUCUCUGUUCCCCUCUCCUCCACAUAGAGCUCAAAUUGGUUCUACCUCUUUAAUUUGUUUCCCCUUUUUAUUUUCCCAGUCAAAUUAUACAAAGAUUCAUCCAUAUCUAUUCAAUACUUAGACUACACGGAAGGAAACCUCAGAGUCAGAGUCCGUGGGCUUGAUUUCGUAGACAAAAUCCGAUUUUUGUCCAUAAAAAUCGAGUCUUUGUUUUCAAAUUUUUGCUCAAAAAUCAUCUCCUGGAACCCAAAUUUCGGAUCAAUUCGAAGCUUUAUAGAAACAAAUGACGAUCGAAAGCCCUAAUCCGAUCGAGAAGAGGGGAAAUCGCAAGAACAAGCAGGUUCUCGAUGAAAAGGUCCCUCUUUUGCCCACCAAACAGGAGGAAAAUGGUGCGUUUGACGAGUUCAACGGGGCCUCCUUCGCCGGCGCCGUGUUCAAUCUAUCGACAACGGUCGUCGGCGCCGGGAUCAUGGCGCUUCCCGCCACCAUGAAGGUGCUAGGGUUAGUGCCGGGGCUCCUUCUGAUUGUAUUUGGCGCCUUCCUCACCGAGGCCUCGAUCGAGAUGCUCGUCCGAUUCAGCCGCGCCGGAAAGGCGGUCUCCUACGGGGAAGUCAUGGGGGACGCAUUCGGGAACGUCGGCCGGACGCUGCUUCAGAUCUGCGUCGUCGUGAAUAAUAUUGGAGUGAUGAUUGUGUACAUGAUUAUUAUUGGUAUACACACUCUCAUUGAGAUACAUAUCUUUACUUUCCUAAAGCUUUUCUUAUAGGUGUUUAUAUCAUUGUUAUCUACCUUUCUUACUUUCUCUGCACAAUUUAAUUGAUUUAGCAAUUGCGUGUCGCUAUUAUAUAUAGCAUUUUCUACUCCAUCAGCAAUAGUUAGGUGUUCUGCAAGCAAAAAACCAAGAGCUUUUGAAGCUUUUGUUUGCGCUAGGAAGCUGGAAUGAGUUUUUGGCUUUUCAGGCUUGUGCUACUAGCAGUAGCAAGAAGCACUUUUGUAGAAGCUCCAGCUGUACCGAACAGGCCUUGAUUAGUUGCUAGUCGUCUAGUCGUAGAUUCUAUUGUUGCAUCCUAGAACAAUUUAAAGAGGUUAUUUAUGUUCCUUAUUACUUAAUUUGCUUUUGAGGUUCUUCUUAGUGAAAAGCCUUAAUAGUAUCCUAAAUUCUUGCUUCACGUGGAGUGUUCUUGCCUUAACUAGCCUGAAGCACUAUUUACUUUCUUAAGCAUGUUUCUUUUUGAGUUGCUAUCAAUAAUUAUGCUGUUUUAGGAAGUUGAGUGUUGUUGCUUUCUUCAUAUAAGAUAUAUAUAUAUUUUUUUUUAGGUUGAAACUAUCUGCUUCUUUAAUUACUGACCUAAGCUGUAAUCUUAAGGUGAUGUGCUAUCUGGAACUUCUUCUAGUGGUGAACACCAUUUUGGUGUCUUGGAAGGAUGGUUUGGGGCACAGUGGUGGAACAGCCGUUUCUUUGUUCUUCUAGUGACCACACUUCUAGUGUUUACUCCACUUGCAACCUUCAAGCGUGUAGGUAAGUGUAGCUGCGCUUUGUCCCUAGAUGCCUUGGACCGUCCUAUAAUUGGAGGGACCGAAAGCAAAACAAAAAUAAAAGAAACAGAAAAAACAUAAAAAUGCCAUGCAUGAGCUAUUACCUCCUUAUUUUCUCAGACUCACAUCUUGGGUUUUCUUUCUUGUCUUGCAGAUUCGUUGAGAUACACAUCUGCCGUAUCGGUUGCACUUGCAGUUGUUUUUGUUGUAAUUACUGCUGGAAUUGCUAUUGUGAAGUUGAUAAGUGGAAGCAUUAGCAUGCCAAAGUUGUUUCCUCAGCUACCUGAUUUGGCUUCCGUCUGGAACCUUUUCACAGCUGUUCCGGUUCUUGUCACCGCUUAUAUCUGCCAUUACAACGGUACUAAAGAUAGAAUUGGCUAUGUAAUUUUGGCACGACAUAUGUAGGUCCAUCAGAAAAGUAUAAUCUGUCACACGCUUAGCAUUAUCUAUUUCUUUUCGUAUCAUAAAUCUUAGGUGAAAUUUGUACUGAGACCCUAAUAAUAGGCCAUUUUGAGAGAAAUUUCUGAACUUAUUUUUUUGAUCAACACCGAAAAAAAUAAAAAAGAAACAAAGUUAAUUGUUUAUGUGUGUGGGUAGGGGUGGGGGUGUCUAGAACUUCACCUAUCAUAUUUCUCCAUUUAAUGCUGUUCGCGAUAUUUGAAGUAUGAUUUUUCACUUUGCAGUUCACUCAAUAGACAAUGAGCUGGAGGAUUCUUCCCAGAUAAAACCUAUCGUGCGCACAUCACUUCUCCUCUGUUCAACUGUAUAUAUUACCACAAGCUUCUUUGGCUUUCUUCUUUUUGGUGAUAACACCCUCGACGAUGUACUCGCCAACUUCGAUUCCAACCUUGGCAUCCCCUACAGCUCGGUUCUCAAUGACGCAGUUCGAGUUAGCUAUGCUGUCCACCUAAUGCUUGUAUUUCCCAUCAUAUUCCAUGCUUUGAGGCUUAACUUGGAUGGCCUCCUCUUUCCCUAUGCAAGGUCUUUAUCUUCUGAUAACUGGAGAUUUGCCCUAAUUACUGCAGUACCUCUUUUAGCCAUUUUCUUGGCUGCGAACUUUAUACCCAGCAUAUGGGAUGCCUUCCAAUUUACUGGUGCGACUGCUGCUGUUUGUAUUGCCUUCAUUUUCCCUGCGGCCAUUACUCUCAGGUUAGUUCUUGCAGUUCAUCGGGACCGUGUUAUACUAUCACCUUCUCUUUACUUGUCUGAAGUCAUUCUAGUUCUUUCUUGCAAGCCUAAAUUUUCUGCUAUUGAGAGCUUCCUCUCUUUGCCGACCACUUUUCAGGGACCGCCACGGCGUUGCAACGAGAUGGGAUAAAGUAUUGUCUGUUUUUAUGAUUGUUCUCGCCGUCCUGUCAAAUGCAGUUGCUGUGUAUAGUGAUGCUUAUUCCCUAUUUAAGAAGAGCAAGGGCUCCCAGUCUUAAACUACACGUAUCCUCUUCAUAGUCGAUAAAAUUUGUGGUGUCUAGUAGCUGCCAUGCAUAUGUAUGUUGAUAAAACUGUAUUUUAGCACAAUAAGUGAUCCUAGUGUAAUUAUGUUACGUGAGUUUAAUCAUUUAUUUAGUUAACUCAACCUUGCAGGUUGAGUUACAUCCUCCACUGUGUGGUAGGAUGCAUGUAUUAUCUUUAGGUUUCGGUAAGGGUUUUUAUGCAAUCGAAAGUAUUAAGACAUGUAUAUGAUUCCAAGUUUGGGUGUUGUAAUAGAAGUUUGAUUUGGAAUUGUAAACUUGGUUCUAUUAUUUUGGUUUUUUUUUUUUUUUUUUUCUGUCACUUCACCUCAUUGUUUUAGAAGGACAUUUUAUAGAAUUUUGUUUUUGUUUUUUUUUUAACACUCCUACAAAUGCAAAAUGAUGAGAAACUUGGAUCUGAAACUGAUGUGGAUAACAAACACAUAAUGGUCUUCAAAGUUCUCUGAUUGCCUUCUGUUGAACUGGGGCUGGCAUUUGACAAUUAAGAGCUCUCUGUUUUUUCUUAACUAUUGUAAAUAUUCUUGUUGUUUAAAUUCACAUUCGACCUUAUUUUCGCCACUUCUUUAUCUAGUAAUUUAGAGCAUUAUUUUUUAUUCCCGUCCUUCUUUGUCGGUGCUUGCUUUCGUCCAACUACUUGUUUAGCCUAGAAUAAUUUGAGUUUAAAAAAAAAAAAUAGAAGCUUUAAAGUUAUCAAUCAGAAACAUCAAGUAUCCAUUUUGAAAUGGUGGAAUACAAUUGAGCGUAACUCAAAAUAUCGUAUAAGUUCACAUAAAUGUUUAGUAAGCAGGCUUUGAGUGAAAAAGUUAAGCUAGACUUAGGUGUUUAAGUUAGGCCAAUUUUACUUCUUCAUGUUUUAAUUAAAAAAAUAAAAAAAUAAAUUUAAUUCGAAUAAAAUAUCUAUUGAGUUCGGAUUCAACUUCUAAUCCAAUCUCCUAGACCGGAUUGGAAAAAGAGCUGAGUGGGGCGGAAAUCGGAAUCAGAGUGAGACUCCCGCAUACGAAAUAUCUACAAAUAGAUUUAUCCAUUCCGAUUCCGAUUUUAUGGUGGAAGAGAAUCGAACCAAACACGCCCUUAUUAUUAUUUUGAUAUUAUUUUUUAUGUUUAAUGUUUUUAAAUUACUAUUUGAAGGUCUAUGGUUUGAAAGGUAAUAUUAAAAACCAGUGCUGUAGAGACAGAUAUCGUUUCAUUUAUAAUAAAAAAUUAGUAUUUAAAUUUGUGAUUUUUAAUGAAUUAUAUUAUCGUUUGAAAAGCUUUAUUAUGAUUGUUUUUAAUGAGGCGGUGUAUGAGAUAUACUUAUACACCAGGUGCAAGCAACAAUUUCCCCUAUUUACAGUAGUUUUUUUUUUUUUUUUAACUUAAACUUAUUUGGUCAAAUCUUCAAUUCCGAGUGGGAUUCAAUUUCGACUCACCGUAGGAUUCGACUUCACCAAAGCCUAUAAAUAUAUCCCCUCAAACCAAUCCUUCCCACCGUAGGAUUCGACUUCACCAAAGCCUAUAAAUAUAUCCCCUCAAACCAAUCCUUCCCACCGUAGGAUUCGACUUCACCGAAGCCUAUAAAUANUCCCACCGUAGGAUUCGACUUCACCAAAGCCUAUAAAUAUAUCCCCUCAAACCAAUCCUUCCCACCGUAGGAUUCGACUUCACCGAAGCCUAUAAAUAUAUACCCUCAAACCAAUCCUUCGCAUUCUCUUGUCUUCUGCGUCUUGGCUCUCUCCCAUGGCGAAUUUCAAUUUUCCUGAUCGCAUCGUCGACGAUCCCUCUCCUCCUUCCCUGCAGUGCACAGAGCUAGGGUUUGGUGCCAUCGAUUUGAAUGCUGAUCCCGAUUGUGGUUCAGGAGGCGACGAUCUCUGUUCUCCCUCGCCACGGUGCAUGGAGCUAGGGUCUGGUGCCAUUGCUGGGACAAUCGAUUUAAAUGUGGAUCCCGGUUAUGGUUCCCCGCCGAGGUGUGUGAAACUAGGGUUUGGUGCCAGUGCUGGGAUAAUUGAUUUGAAUAUGGAUCCUGAUUGUGGUUCACGAGUCGGCGAUCCCUGUCCUCCCUCACUGCAGUGCACGGAGCUAGGGUUUGCUGCUGGUGCUGGGAUAAUCGAUUUGAAUGUGGAUCCCGAUUGUGGCUCCCUACCGAGGUGCGUAGAGCGAUUCGAUGUGAAUGCGGAGGUUUCUGAUUCUGAUUUCGAUUUGAAAGCAGAGGUUUCUGAUUCUUGUGACCUCUUUGUGGGGCGGAGGAGCCCCGCCUCUAAUUCGAUCGCGUUCUCUAGAGCACGGUUCAGCAUUGUGGAGGCUUUGGAGGUCGGCAAAAUUGACUCCUAUUUCGGUUCAGAGGAGUUCUCUCGUGCGCUAUCGGGUUUCGCCGCCCUGCAGCCGAUCUCAAUGGCGCUGCCGUUUGAUCAUUCGACGACCCGGGACGAGGAGGAGGAAUGCCGCACGCCGAUCGAUCGAGAAAGCAGGCUGGCAUUCGAAGUCACCAGCUGCCCGCCGGCUCCGAAGAAGCCGCCAAGAGCGCCUUCGUGCAAGCGCAGGCUGCUGGAGCUGGAGCUCGUAAGCGUGAGGCUCGAAGAGAUCGAGAGUUGGCUCCGGUCCAAGGAAUGCGGCGCGAAGAGGCCGCGGCAGCCGCAGAGUGGUAGCUUUUAGCAGUUCGUUUUCUUCUGCGAUGAUACUGUGUAGGUGUAGCUUUUCUUGAUGUUUAGUACAUGUUUUAUGUAUGUAACGGACAAGUAGAUGAGUGAUACUCGGCGGUUGUUAACGAACCAGUUAUUGUUUGGUUAUUUUACUUAAAGAUUGGUGCUUUGCUAUUAAUCUAAGUUUAAACAUUUCAAACUUUGUUCUGCUUGAUGUUUGCUUUAAAGAGACCGUGAAAUACAUCCUUAGAACAUAUAGCAAUGAAAACUGCUUUCUAUUUUUUUUUCCAUUUUUUGUGAUGCAGCAAACAGUUUAAGCCAAAUUGAAUGAAACUUUUUGCCUCUUCCCACCACAAAAAAAAUCUACUGUUAUUAUAUCCUCUACUAAAUCCAUAAUAAUCCCGCAAUUAUUUUUUUUUUUGAUUAAACAGGGAUUUACCCUAUUUUUGGAGUACAGUGGAACAAAGAGUAAAAUCAGCACAUACAGAAAAAUGAAUUACAUAAGUUAAACCCACAAUCCAAACUCAAUCAUCCCCCCCAGGUGGAUCUCCAGAACUGUACUUCAGCCUUAAUGGAUUUUCCCAUUUCUUCGUGCGUGACUCGUCGAUUGCGAAAGAUCCUCGAUCCCGCAAUUAUUAAUAAUUGCGAAAGAUCCCGCAAUUAUUAAUACCUCAUUAAACGAAGUGCUAUCUUCAAUUAAAUUCAUUAUAGUCCACAAUUAAUACCUCAUUUAAUGAAGUGUUUUUAGCUAUAAAACUUUCAGCGUAUGCACCCCUUAAUUUGGGAGGGGCAGAACUCAGUGAGAAAAUACAAUGAACAGUAUGGUCAAAACUUUGCACAUCCUCCUCCACUGCCUACCAUUCACCAUCUCCCUCUCCUCGCCACAGUCUCUACAGCUUAGAAUGAUCAACAGUGACUCAAUUCGCUCUCCUCUCUACCCUGGAAACCUCACCAGUGAAGAGCUCAUGAUACGGCUGGCAAACCACUCAACUCUUCGAGCUCAACACGUCGAACUAACCCUCUCUGCACCGCAUGCUAGCUACGAUACGAUGCGUCUCCGACCGCACGUCUUUCCCACACCUAGCAACCUGUAUCUGGUGGAAGUCCAUGUCGGCACGCCUGCACAUUCGCGCUCGAAUCUAAGCUGUUCUAUUGCCAAUAUGGAGAUAGGUUACAGGGAAAUAGAGCAGGAGGUUAAUGGUUCAAGACCUUUGAUUUGUCUCUGAUACCAUAAAGAAUUUGGCUACUUUUCAUGAUCCUCCAAAGAUGAUACAACAAUGGUUAAAUAACCAUUUACAUACAUGCCCUAAUAAAUCAAGGCCUAAUCUAAGCCUUAAUUUUAGAAAGACAAUCGUGUGAUUAAUUGUCUAAGAAUGAAAAAAUUCCUAAGAAAGAAAGUAAAAGAUGGAUAUAAAUAAACUUACAAAUCAUAUUUCCAAUCUAAUUGUUAAUAUUUAUAUCGAUUCUCACAGAAUCAUUAAUCUUUGAUGCAAAAUUGCAGUUGUUGCCCUGGAGGUCAUCUAUUUUGAUUGCUACCGGUUUUUGUUUAGUAUUUUUGCCCUGGAGGUCAUCUAUUGUCAUCUAUUAAUAUUUCCAAAAUUAUUAAUCUAAUCAUUAAUAUUUCACGUAGAACUCGGGAAACAUAUUUUUGUUCCUCAAAUGAACAUUUUUUUGUUUCAGUAUUUGGUCAGAGGUUAAAGAAAAGUUUUGUUAGAGGGUUAUAUUGAUGAUCUGUAGCAUUUAAACUGAUUUAACAAUGAUAGAAUAAUUUUGGAAUCAGAACCCAUCAUUUCUAAAAUUUACCAUACACAGUAUCAAGUGGACACAAAUGAAUAGUGUAAAAAAAAAAAAAAAAACACUUGUAAAAGUAGACAAGAAGAUUCUCCUAACAUCAAGUUUAUUGGUUUUGAUCUACAUAACUAAUAUUGGAUUUUUAAACUAUUUUACCUGUUAACGAACAAUAGCUACAUAUUUUUCAUAUAGAAACUAUUUAAAAUUUACAGAUCAUAGCUAACUAUAUUUAAAUUUUAUUUUUUAUGUAACUCUUUACGCUUCAGAAAUUCAGGGAUAUACGCAGUAGCAUGCUUAAUAAAUUCAACCGAAUUCGGCAAUUUUUGAUGUAUCGUCACCGACUUUAUAAUCGGGUGGUCUGAGGCCACCGACUUGUACACUCCAUCCACCCAAAAAAACCCGUCCCUUGCACCGUCCCGAGCUUUUCUUCCUCGGCGCCCGAAGUUCAAACCCCUCCUCCUCCCCUUCGCUCUCCUUCAAAAUCCCGUUCAAAAUGAAGGUUCCCAUGGGUCCUCCUCCUCCACGAAACCCUAACCCUAAUGCUAACCCUGAUCGCGAACCCGAAUUGUCGAACGCGGAGCGAUCGCUCGGCGAGGCCCCGCAACCCAGCGCCCUGGAUAAAUCUGGCACCGACGAGGAGAGUAACGCGCCGCUCGAGGAGUCGGACAAGGAGGAGCCCCACCAAAACCCUAACCCUAACCCUAGCUCGAGCCCCUCGGAGCGGGGUGGGAAAUCCCCAGUACCCUACUCGAUCCCGCCGUGGAGCGAGCCUCCUACUCACCGCUUCUUCCUCGAGGUUCUCAAAGAUGGAUCAAUCAUCGAGCAAUUAGACGUGUAAGGGUUUCGUAGCGCUUCUUUAGCCAUAUUUCCUUUAUGGAAUUAUUAUUAUUAGUUUGUUUUCAAGUUUCUGUUCUUCUACUGUACCUUCUCGUACUCUACCAUUUCUUUCUCUGUUUUUAGGUUGUUUUUGAAAGAAAUUAUAGCUAAUGAUGCAGGAAACCAUAUUAUUGACUGUCAUAUUCCAAUCGAUGUUCAAUUUGGAAGUAUCAUAUGCUCGGUUAGUGAGAAUAAUGAUGGUAUUCUUACUAAACAAUAGUAAUGAUGCAGGUCUAAGAAAGGAGCGUACAUGUUUGGACGUGUCGAUCUUUGUGAUUUCAUUUUGGAACAUCAAACAAUCUCUAGAUUCCACGCAGGUUCGUGAUAUCUUGAUAUUUUUCAUGAUAUUUGGCGUACUUGGAGUAAAUUCACAUUAUUGUGCAUAAUAUAUCCUGUUUCAACCCUAAAUAUUAAUUAUAGGUGCUUUUGCCAAGUAACUUCAAGACAUUACCACAAGUUAGUCUUGGUAUUCUGAUUUCUUUUAAUGCAGAAAUGGACAAUGUUUGAGAUAUAAGCAUAUGUUUCUGCCCAACCUUUUUUUUGUAUUUUGCUUACACGACGCUUUGGCUGUAGCUUUGUGGAAUUUAAUUUGGAUUUACUAUAUAUAUAUGUAUAGAACUAUAUGUUAUCUAAGGAUUACAAAUGAUUAGUAUCAUGAAAAAAUGUUGUUGAUGUCUACACUAUUAAAGGUUAUUUAUCUUGUGUAAAUAUCUAAAUGUUCUUAUUCCAAAUGUUUCACCAGUUCUGCAGUUUAAAAAAGACGAAGUCUUACUUUAUGAUCUUGGCAGUACGCAUGGUACUUCUGUUAAUAAGAAACAGGUAAAAAGUACCUAUAGAGCUUCAUGUCUUACCAUUUAUGUAAAGCUUUACAGUUGCAUCUUUGAUAUUGGUAUAUUCGUUUUUGACAAAAUUACGUCUUUUCUUUAGUCAAUGAAUCUUAGAACUUGUCUUAUAUCUUGACUACAUUUUGUCUGACCUGUCUUCUCUCGUGCCUUUAUACCAAAUAUAGAAUUUGAUUACUGGUUCUAGUUAUUUAAUUUGCUUUGCAUGCCUUCUCUGUCAAUUUUAGGUUAAGAAGAAGGUGUACAUGGAAAUCCAUGUUGGUGAUGUUAUAAGAUUUGGCCAGUAAGUUCAUUUAUAAUAAUCUAAUUUUAGUAUAUAGUUUGCCUUUCUCCCUUUCGAUUUCUCGUGGUCUUCACUUUGUAUCUGCCAAAACAAUCAUGAACAGAUUGUAUAGCUUUUCCAUUUAUAUAACUGUAGUGUUACAUGUUUUUGACUAGAUGUAACUUUUUAUACUUAGUCAUGGUUUAAGAACUUUAUGCUUUAAAGUUCUUUAUCUGUGGUGUCAGUUCUUAGUGGAAAGAAUCCUGUUCAAACUAGUGAAUCAUGUCGUGAUUUUCCAGAAGAUGUGUUAUUCUAGCUGUAUUUUUUUCAGUGUUCAUGAUGCAAUUGAUGUUAUUGAUAGCUGUAUUUUUUCGGUCUUCACGGUGUUUUUAGUAAGUUAUAGCUGAGAACAACAAGUGCAAGUCAAAUAGUAAACCAUACUAUUUUGUCUAGUUAGUCUCAUCUUUUGCUGGUUUCAGUCUUUCUUCUCAGGUUCCUCAUUCAAAAUCUUCUCCUAUCAAGUAUAACAACCUUUCCUGGAGCUCUGUUAGACAUGGAGUCAUUCAACUGUUUUAAUUUGUUUAGCAAUGGUCUGCAAAUUUAAGGCUUAUAUGGGCUUUUACCUUGAAAAACUCUAAUAUGCUUGCCCGGUAUCUUGAUAUGCAAAGAAUUACUAAUAACCUUCUUCUUUAUUCCACUUUCAACAGGUCCUCGCGCUUGUAUAUUUUCCAAGGACCAUCUGAGCUGAUGCCGCCGGUCAGAUUGUGAAAACCUUUCUAUUUGAUCUGUAUUAUCUUUUUAUCAAAUCUCCUGAAAUACUUAAGACCCAGUGUAAUAUUGAGGGUUUUCUUUGUGAUAGGAGGGUGAUUUUCAGAAGUUGCGAGAGGCUAGGAUUCAAGAAGAGUUGCUUGAUCGAGAAGCUUCGCUUUCACGUGCAAGGGCUGAAGCUUCUCUCGCAGAGGGAAUCUCAUGGGGCAUUGCUGAGGAUGCAGUUGAAGAAGCUGGAGAGGUUAGUUUUUGAUUCUCUAAUUUUUCCUUGCUUAUGUUCUUAUGGGUCAUGGUGUUAAUAGUUUCAAGAACCUUAAUUUUGUGUGCGCCAUGGUGUUAAUAGUUUCAAGAACCUUAAUUUUGUGUGUGCUUUCCAUGUUUUAUCUUUUUGAAGUCUGGUUCGAAUUUGUUUGAUUCUGUACACUCUGAUGUUCACUGACCAAGCUGUCAUCUCCUAGGAUGAUGCAGAUGAAGUUACAUGGCAAGCAUACAAAGGACAGCUUACUGAACGGCAGGAGAAAACUCGCAGCAAAAUAACAAAAAGAAUGGAAAAGGCAAGUCGACAUUAUUCUAGUUGGAUGAAUUGACCGCUGUAAGAAAUUUCCUUGCACCCGAACAUUGCUUCUAUAGAAUUUGCGGUAUUGUUUCACCUCCUAAACCAAUGAUUGUUUACUUUGAGGAAGUGAAGUGAAAAGACUUUUUAGGCUCUUCUCUUCGAGGGAAGAGUUCUCUUUCGUAAACUGUUCAAAAAUUAGAAUCAAACUUUUAUUAGUCUCUUUUCAAAUCUUGUUAUAUAUGAUGAAGGUUACUUUUAAAAGUUACUGUUUUGAGGCAUAGCUUGCUCCACAAAAUUUUUGUAAAUUUGUUAGAAUUGUGAUCAUACAUGAAGGUAUCAGAAAAUUAUUGUGUUGAAAGCUGUCAGCAUUGAAGCCUUUGGUUUAGAUUCCCUAAUAAGCAUUUCUGCUUUCCUUUGUAAUUAUUUAGCUUACAUGUGAAUAUCCCCAUGGGUUUCUUUUUUAAUCUCAUCUGAGUACAAUUACAAUGUAUUGCUUGACAUAAGGAAGUCUUUGUUCUUCUAGUGUUACUUGUGUUGUAUCAAUCUCAUUAGCUUAGUAAUUCUUCAUUUUCCUUUGUUUUUUUAGGUUGCCAAUAUGAAGAAAGAGAUUGAUGCUAUUCGAUCAAAAGAUAUUGCUCAAGGUGGGUUAACUCAAGGUCAGCAAACACAGAUUGCACGAAAUGAACAAAGAAUAUCACAGGUUUGUAUAGUAUGAUAUGCUGAGACUUCUGUCUGCUUGUUGUUAUAUUCCCCUAUUGGAUCUAAUUGUUACCGUUCUUGUUCAGAUUAUGGAGGAACUGGAGAGCUUAGAAGAAACUCUGAAUGAGAGUAUUCGAGAAAGUUUAGGUGCACGUGCUGGAAAGGUGGCCCAUGGUAGGAAGAAAGGAAGUAUUGAGGAUGAAGAUGACAUCUUGAGGUAACUCAACCUUUAAAGAAAUCGCCUUUUUAGGAGUAAUUGUGACAAGAUUUGUUGGGGAUAAAAGCUAUUGCAUGCCUACUAAUGCUAGAUCAUUCUUUUAUCUUAUGCCUCUAAAUAAUAUUUCUCAUGAAUAUAGAAUCACUGAAAGGAAUAGUGAGAUCAUAUUAUAUGUUUCCAGAUCCUGGGAACUACUUACAAUAGAGAAGACAUUCAUGAAAUUUUUUCCAGCUUCAUACGUAUGUAAAUAGUAAAAAAGCUUUCAGUUGGAUUGAGGCCAGGUAGUGCUGGUUAGAAAAACUUGAGACUAGUGUGGCUUCAUGGUAUAUGCGUGUAGGAAUAUGGGGCCCUUUUCUAUUAAUUUUGGGAAUGCUAAUAUGGCAGUCUUCUCAAGUGAGCUCGAGAAGAAUGAUUUCAUUUGUGGAUGAACAAGUUUUAAGCCUAAUUGACAUGCAAGUGUGUACUGGACUCUGCAUUAUUGCAAAAUCUACACCCUUUUCUUGUCAAUAGUUACUGCAACACUUAAACAUCUAAACUGAUUGUAGCAGAUGCAUUCUGGUUGAAAUGAUCUUCCUUAAUUUAUUAAUACUGGAAUUUAGUAUUAUUCAUCACAUGGGGACUUUUCAAGUGGUCUAGUCUUCCUUCUACUUAACAAAUCUGUGAAUUGUCCAGUGAUGAUGACGAUUUCUAUGAUCGGACAAAGAAGCCAUCUUCUCAAAAAUCUAGUGAACAGCAGUCUGUUGAAACGGCCGAUACACUUCUUGACAAGAAGGAUGCUAUUACCGGUGAGAUGGAAGACAAGAGGAAAUUGCUUGAAAAUGAGAAAAAUAAACUACCUAGUAGUGCAAAGAACAAAGAAGGAAAUGACAGUGGUGAAAACAAUGAAGAUGGUGAUGACCUUGAUGCAUACAUGACCGGACUGUCAUCUCAACUAGGUGAGAAUCCUUGAAUGUGACUGUUGUGAGUUUUCUUAUUUUAUCUUUCCCUGACUGGCUGUUAUUUUUAGGAUUUUCUAUCCUCUUGCAACAGUUUAAUUAGUUUCUGGAUUAUCUUGCUAAAGGGCCUGACAAGGAUUGUUCAUUCGCGUAGUUCUGCUUUGUACUUGCCCCCCAAAACACUUAAUUUUUGUUGCUAAAAAACGCCAGAGUCGAGUCUAGGUACCACUUUUUAUUCUUUUUUUUUGAGAUGUUUGUCUUUUUUGUUUUUUUUUUUUUUAGAUUUACAUAAUUUAGGGGAAAAAAAGGGAGGUCAGUGAUUUCCAUGAUAAUUAUAUGCAAAAUUUCAGUAUGACUUCUGCGUAAAGCCAUACCCUUUCUCUAUCUUGCAUUUGCUGCAACGACUAAUGCCGUACAAUAUCGUGCCUUCCUAGAGGAACAUGUAUGAUUUCGUUUGUUGUUCUGAUUCAUAUGCAGGAAAUUAAUGUACAUAAUAAAGUAUGAGUUAAGCUACUAUUGGAAGCACGAACUUCCAACUUUUGGACCCUUGGAUCUCUAGAGUUUACUAAUUGGAUCCAAGGGCCUAAAAGUUGGAAGUUCGUGCUUCCAAUAGUAUAGUAGCCCCACAUAUAAAGUAUAUCAAGAUAUAUGAUAUAAUAUAAUGUAUAUCGUACUGUUAUAGAUAGAAGAUAGAUAGAGUUUCAUAUUCUUUUAUUUUUAUUUGUAGGUUCUGCAAGAGCACGCAUAUCAUGAAACUUUGAUGUUGUGUGUUCCUUCAUCCUUUCACUAACUUCUUUCUACCCAUAAUAUUUGUAGUGCAUGACAGAAUUGCACAAAUUCAGAAGGAACUGUCCGAUCUUCAAGCUGAGUAUGACAAGGUAACCUACUUGCUGAAAAUAGCUGAUCCAACAGGAGAAGCUUCUUGGAAAAGGGGUCUAAAAGCACAAGAACCAACGGCUGAAUCCACUCCACAUCCACAACCAUUAUCCAAGGAAAAACAAAUUGCUUUGCCUGAAACGGCUGUAGUAAAUCCACAACCUAAAGAACCUUCCCAUUCGAAACAAGUGGACCAGAAUGCUAAAGAAGGUAGCGAUAUUCCCAAUCUAAAAGAAAAUGGGGUAUCCGCAUUUAGCUUAACAAAACCUCAAUGGCUUGGUGCCAUGCGGGAUACGAAACCUGAAGAGAAUGAAAUGCAAGAGGUAAAAGCUGAUGCAGAAGAGCCUGAUAACUUUGUGGAUUACAAAGAUCGCAAAAAGAUUCUUCAACAACUCGAUACUGGAAAAGAAAUGGAAAGCACCACUGCUGGUCUUAUUAUACGUAAGCGGAAGCAUUUAGAUAGUCCUGAAUCUAAUGUAGAUAAAGUCCAGAGAGCGGGAGACUCAUCUGCUGGAGAAGCUGAAACAUCAGCUGCUGAUGCUGUGGCCCUACUGCUCAAGCAUAAACGAGGUUACCAUGCUUUAGAAGAUGAUGAACAGAAUGGGAAUCAACUCAAAACUGGGCAGAAAAAGGAGAAAAAAGAAAAAUCGCAACCGAAACGAGUGUUUGGACCUUCAAGACCCGAUUUUCUUAACAAUAGUCCAGAUUAUGAGACUUGGGUGCCCCCUGAAGGUAUAAUUCGAAUAAAAAUUUUGAAUAUAAAGCUGACUGUACUAACUAACAAUAACUAUGAGAACGUAACAUGCAGGACAAACUGGUGAUGGACGCACCUCUUUGAAUGACCGCCUGGGUUAUUGAUAAGCUCCAUUUGCUCUCAUCAGGGAUAACUCUGCUGGGGUAAGUUAUUGUGCUUUAUUAUUUAUCUCCUACCUUUGAAGAUUGUUUAUGUUUUUGUAGUGUGGUGCAUUUAGGUGUUAAGUAGCUCUAUUUUGUGACCUGUAUGUUAGGAGAAAACAAAGAAAUCCUGAUGAAGCCAUUGCUCCCAACUAUUGAACCUCUGGAGGGCCAUUGCAGUGAAACAGAACCGUAUAAAGGCUGCUGAUACAAAUGGAUCAACAUGCCUGUAGCAUACAGCGAAUGAAGACGUUUAAACACUUGGUCACAUUUGUCACAGUUCCUAACGGGUCAAAUGAGGAUUCUGGCGGAUAGACAUAGGUAUUUAAGCUUUUCUCUGGAAAUAUUGUGCAAAAUCAAACACCACAGGCAGAAAACUUCUCGUUUAGCUGCAGUUAAUUCCGUUUUAUUGUAACGCAUAAAGAGAGGUGAGGGUUGGGCGCUCGAAAAGAGUUCCCAGUUGGCACGUGCUGGAGCAUAUGGUUCUGUUUUUGAGUUGCUGCCAUUGUAAAUUAAGGCAAAGCUGUUUUCCCCACUUAAAUUCUUUUCUGCUGGGAAAGUGAAAAACUCAUAGGGGAGUGCCUCCUCUGCAAUCAUGCGGCAUUGCACAAACACGGUAAGACUUGUAUUGCAGGCAGAGUACCUUCCCUCUCCUUUCUGAUCAUUUAGAAGUAACUUAUCAAGAGAUAAAAAGGGAGCUUAAAACAAAAUUUACAUCUCAUACUGCUUGCGAUUUGCUUUACCCUUCUCUUAUUACACCUUUCAUUAUUUCAAAAGUUGCUGAACAAAGCCUCAAGUGAUGAUUACAUAGUAGAAUUAUUUAAAUAUAAAAACAAAAUUAGCAGAACACAAAAAUUAAAAGUAAUUUGUUACAUCUGUAUCUCAACCUGAAAGAACCGCAUAAAUAUUACUACAAAAAAAUUUUACCAAGUAAUGUAGGGAAUGGAAAAUAUAUCUAUAAUUUAUAAAAUAAAUGGUGAAAAAAAAUGCUGAGAAUUUUCUAAUGCAUUUCCAUGGUUGAAGAGGCCUUAAUAUUGUGGUAUCUGUAAACGGAUAUCGUGCAAAGUACCUACUUGUCUGAGUAGUUACCUGUUUAACUCUUCCGCAUUUUGGUGGAGAGAUUUCCACCUCGGAUCCAGUGAAAAAAUUAGUUUAACUCCCACACGGCUUCAUCUUGUUUGGCUUUGCCCCUGCCUUUGGGGCGACCAAACUGUCUGGCAUUUUUACUUGACAAAAACUUCAGUCCGGCUUGGAGUGUGAUCUUUUUUGGGUCGACAUUCUGUGGUCAAAAUUGGCAGUAUAUUCGAGAGUUAAAAAUACUACAUGGAGAUGCCAUCAACAGAUUGUAAUAUCAAGAAAAAGACUUGUUCUUCAGUAAGUAAAAUAAAGAAAGGCAAAAAAGAAUCGAACUCACAACUGUAAAGGCUUGUGUGUAUAAAUAAAUAGUAGGAACCAAGUUCAGAAUCAUCCGUGCAAGAGAAACAUGAUAACCAACAGUAAGGCACACACCUUUGGCACUGGAGAGACAGUACGCCGAUGUUUAAUAGAAAAUCCGAACUUUGAAUGCGCCAGCAGAACAGGCUGAUUAUCAUCUGGGUGAUUACCCUGCACGGCAAAAUAUAAAUAUGCAACUAGUCAGCUUGUGGGGAUAAUUAAAUGGAAAGAACAAACCAACUGUCAAUAUCUGAUACAAUGAAACAUAGAGAUGUAUACCAGAAUGAUAGGAUACUGCAGCAGGUCAACAGCAUCCUCUAAAGUGAUUGAAUCAACAUCUUUGACCUGAAAUAGGCAGAUCAAAAUAGGUGUGAUAACGAUUUCUACUUAAAAAUCAAGUAGAAAUCAGAAAACUUGUCCUCACCGUCUUUUUCUUAAAAUAAAAGGAGAAGAUUAUGUAGCAUCUUUACUUGAGCUUUUCAACAUGCAACUGAAUGUUCAUAAAUUAUUUGCUUUCUUUAGUUUCAAAACUAAUAAAUUCUGCCUGGCAUUAUCCAUUCUAGGUUUAUUCGAAUACUGCAUUCUUCUUCCUCCAGCUCAAAUUUCAAAUUUAGCUAAAUACACUUCAGCGGGGAGGGGGGAAAAAAAUUUGCAUCAAGAUCUCAGGACAGUAGCUUUUUUGACAAACACAAAUUUAUCCACACAAUAUACACCAAGAAAUAUUCACGUGAAAAAUAUGUUGCUAGCAAACCUCGGACACAGAAGCUCUUUUUGGAGUGUACCCCUUUUUGUCAUCCCCUAGCUGGACAUAGUAGCCAUAAGGACCCUUUUUCAAGAAGACCUGGAGAACAUAGUGAAAGGAAGCUAUUAAUAUAAAAGGAGAAAAAUGUAAAAAGAACGAAAAAGGUUCAAGGGGAGUAAAGCACUUCAACACCUUUUGCUUAGAACCUGGCAUAACACCUAGCAAUUUAGGUGGAAACGAUUUAUCUGGUUUCUCAGAAGUGUCGGUUUCGUCAUCCUCAGUAAAUAAUGUGCUGGCAAUAUACCUGUAUAAAAGGUGCCAGUUGAUAAGAAAAUACUAAUAAAUACACACUAAUCAUCAUGAAAGGAUAUAGAGAAGGAAAAGAGUACAUACUUGCACUUGGGAUGUUGGUCACAACCUAUAAAAUAACCGGCGCCAAACCUACUGACCUUAAAUCUCAAGGUUCCUUCUGAACAACUGCAAAGUUCACGAGGGUAAAAUAUUAUCUUAUGCUUUGAGUCGAGUAUGUAGCAAUAAAACAUGUUUUUGCUGAAGAGACAUCAUUCCAGAACCUAGAAAGUUCAUUAUGCUCUAAAAGAUAAUUUAAUGAACAACUAGUUUCACAAAACUUCACUCUAAACUACAAGGAACCUUACACAAUAACAACUUUACCAGCAACUUAAUCAAAAAAUAUAUCUCAGAAACAAACCUCCUACAAAGAUACAAGCAAGUGAAGAAAUGACCAUACCACAGUAUAAUAAAAAGAUUUUUGUUCGAGUCAAGUAGGAAAGGAAUGAAAUGCUGCUCUUUCAAGAAUUUUGCCUAGUAUGCAGAAGAAACUUAUAUCCUUUUUAUUUUUAUUUGUUUAAAAAACUCCUUUUCAGCAGAAUUACUAUCAUUUCUUGGUUUUCAAAAUCACCCUGCAAGGAAAAUAUUGGUAUUCGUAAAAUUCCAUACUUGGAUGGAAACAAUCAAUUUCUGGAUAUCAAGAUUUGUUCAUCACUGUCAAAAAAUGUGAGCUGAUAACAAUGCCAAGUUGAUGAGAAACAAAAUUACUACUGUGCAUACCGAAAGGCGAUAGUAAUCAGCACUAAUAGAAAGGUAAUCCACGUCACAAACUAUCUAGCACAAAAUAAACUAAACAAUUCUCAUCAUAAGAAAACAGCCAUAGUAGCAAUACCUAGGGCACACCCUGCUAUUAUUAGGAAGGGCAGCAAACAAUAUAUCACUGAAUUUGUCUUCCAGCAUUCUCUCUAUCUGCAAGAAACAAGAUAAUAGUAUACCAAAAAGAGAAAAGAAAAGAAAAGAAAACAAUGCAGAGCAAGGUCAAAACUGUCGACUGAUUAAUAGCAUAGCAGCACCUGUCUUAUAUCAGUUUUACUAGCAAGAUCACAGUACUUGCUGAAGCGUGACCAGUAAUCUUUCGUAAGACCCUUCCACUCUGUUGCCCCAGCAGAGACAUUAUCUAGCUGAUCAAACAACGAAAAAUGAAGCAUAUUAGAAAAAGAUUGCCACUCAUAAUUAGAAAACUAAUACAAGCAGAAGCUGGCAAUAUGCAUAUAUUUUAGGCAAAAGGAUAAGAUAUCCUUUCGCACUAAAUAGUUUUUAUAGAUAAAAUCACUAUCAACACUCGUUUUGUCAUGUAUAUAUAAUCGCUACUUGUCUGGAAUUGUCAAUCAAUACAAAAUUAUAAAAACAUAAAGUUGUUAAUAAUUAGGCAGGGCACACUUAAAACAGAGGCCACAAAAAUGAUGUCCAGUGACAAUUCUAUUUUUGUGAGCAAGAGGUCUCUCAAAAUAGAAACUUGCAAAUUAAGAUUCCACAAUGCAAUCAAUGGAUUAGAGUACUCUUUCAGCAUGUAAUAGAGAUGCUGUAAAGUCGCUUAUACACAAUAAUCAUAAGCACUAAAUACCUAAAAGUUUUUUGCGCCAAUUAUAUAUCUCCAUCAUGAAUACAAGCCUGCGAGAAGAAGUUAUUCCCACAUAUGAAGAAUUUACCAUACUGAUACACUAUCCGUAGUUGCCAUCAAGACGGACUAUUGGACACAAUAAAAUGUCAUCCUGAAUAUUCUAAAUGCUCCAUGUGGGAAUUCUCAUUACAUAGAUAUAAGUCUAAUUCAAGAGUUACUCUUAAUGGCGCAUAACUAAGCUAUGGAUCAGAUUCGAUGAUAUUUUACUUUCUGCGACAUGUUAAGAAAUUGAAGCACUAGGAAACAAGAUUUCACUUCAUUUAUCGUGAAAAAAAAAUGAUUUUAUGAAAAUAUUGUCAUCUAGAUGACUACCAUUAGUUACACAAGAAAAUGCAUAUUCAAAACGCAUAUAUGAAGGUGUCAAGAAAGUACCUCGUUCUCCAUAUCAGCAGUGAAGCUGUAAUCAGCAACCUCAGAGAAAUGGUGAGAAAGAAAUGCUGAGACCUAAAGAUAAUAUUUAGCAGAAACAAGUUAGGUACUACACAUCCAAAAAAGAUGCUGAGAAAUAUAGCAAAAUAAAGAAAAAUAAAAUAUUACCUAUACAAAAAGAAUUGAUGACAGAAAAGACCCAAAAAAAAAGAAGCUGAGAGAUAUUGAGAAAAAGCAAAGUAAAAUAUUACUUUCACAAAUGAAUUGAUGACAGAGAAGGGGGAAAAAAUUCAAAAAAACAAAAAGAUAAAAGCUAAAGUUGCCUCUGCCAAAAGACCAAGAUGUCUAUUAAACAUUCAAACAGUGCUAGCCGCCAAAACCAUGAGAACAGACAAAGACUCCUUUGAGGAAGAAUUGAAAAAUCAAUAAACAAAUUAUUCUUAAUUUUUCCUCACUGAAGAGGUUGUGCUAAAGAUCAAUUAGUUAUUAUGGUUAAUGCACGAAGUCAAGUCAAGAAAAGCAUAUUAUAGUAAACUGCAUUACAAGAGCAGUAUAACACAAACAAAAACUGACCCUUCAAAUUAAACAAUUCGGGUGUUGUAUGUUGUAUAUAAGUGAGCAGCAAUAAUAACUGGGAACUAACAUACCAUGCGACCGCGAAACUCAGGAUGCAGAACUCGAUUUUUCAUCGUCACGUAAUUUCUGUCCUGAUUACCACAAGAAGAAUUUGACCUUUUAUACUUGAGACAUAUGUCAUAAUCAAAUAUAAUAGAUGAACUAAAAUAGUAGAAGGUUCAGCUUUACAGAACUCAAAACUUCAACAUGAAAUGAUAUUUCUAAGACAAAAUAAGUUCAUACUACUGUUCAUGUAUUGAUUUUUAUUUUUUUUCGAGAUACUGCUAAUUGUUUCCUAUAAAGCGGCUAAACUGCAAAAAUCUAAAUCCCAGCUCACACACCAAAAUAUACAUCAACGAACAAAACCAUCUUUAUUUCCGUUGGUGCUGGAGCAAAUUUUUUGGGUGGGUCUGUGCUUGGUUAGACAUGUAAUCUCAAGCAGUGUAAUUCAGUAAAUUGAACUUGAUUCUCAUCUCUUCAUUAGCUCUCAGCUUUCUAAUCAGAUGUUCCCAGAUCUCAAGCAGUGGUUAAUAGCAACUAAUAAAGUGUAUUGAAAACUAUUGGUUAGACAUGUAAUUUCAAGCAGUAUUAUUCAGUAAAUUGAACUUGAUUCUCAUCUCUUCAUCAACUCACAGCUUUCUAAUCAGAUGUUCCCAGAUCUCAAGCAGCGGUUAAUAGUGACUAAUAAGGUGUAUUGAAAACUAUGGGCAAGGAAUAAGGGAAUAUCCUACAAUCACACAAACAUAAACAGACAACCAUAUGCUUCAUGAAGCCACGUUGCAUAUCAACACAAGCUCAGGCUAUAAAAAUUUGCAUGUGUAGAAGCAAGUCCCCUUAAAUUGUGCAAAUUAACUACAUGAAUAAAGACCACAAAAUAUCAGCAUUCAGAUGCUACAUGUACUAAACAUUUCUCUGUUUUAUGUAUCUUUCACCUCCUGAAAACAAAUCUCGUUAAUUUUCAAUGUGUGAAAAUUAUUUACCAGAAGUUUUAUUGUAGAUCAAGAAAUUAUAAACACAUCAUGCUUCAAUUCAUUGAUACCAAUCACCUCUGUCAGAAAGCUCAUGAUUGGUAGUCUCUUUUUAUCUCAAUCUGAAAAUCACCAUUAUUAUAUAUACGAGAAAAAAAAUAGGGAGUAAAAGAGACCAAAAUUUAUACUGGAAAGGGGAGAAUUAUGCUACAAUACCAACAAAUAUAACCCUUUGAUAAGCCAAGGAAUUUAAAAAGAUCCAAGAUAGAACAAUUACCUGCAGCACUUUCAUAAUAGAAGCAUAAGUAGACGGUCUUCCAAUUCCAAGUUCUUCUAGCUUUUUAACCUGGACAUGCAAAGCUUUAAAAAUGAACAAAUGGAGUAACUGAAUAUUCUGAACCGGAAAAAACCCUUUCUUUUUUUUUGACAGCAAAAAAUGAAGCAACUGAUGUUUCAUAACAACAAACAAAAGAUAGAAUGUACUGACCAAUGCUCCCUCAGAAUAGCGUGGCGGAGGCUUAGUGUAGUGUUGUCUAAGAUGCACCUCAACCAAAGAUAAAGAAUCCUUAACCUGCAGAAACAAAAUGAUAUACUGGUAAUGUGGUGCAAUAUACGGCCACUCGUACAAAGUAAUGAGCAAUAUCUUACACAUAAAUCCAGCAUUAAAAAGAAAGCCACGUAAUCUAAGUACAAUAUGAUGACGUUGAUCCAACAGAUGCAGUUUGUGGUAAUGGCUGACUAACUACCAAAAUCAUUUUCAAUUUAUGCAGAAUUCAAAUUACAAUGCAUUAAAGAACACUUUGCUGAUUACUGUACAUGCCAAAUCAGUGUAAUGCACAACUUGCCUUUAAUUUCUGGAGAGCCUCAAAAACCUCUUCAUGAAUGCCAUCUUCCACAUUGCUGUUAUUCUUAACUCCUGCUUCUUUGUCCUAAAAUAGCAGAGCAACUUUUGAUGUAUGUCAUAAUUUCUUUUUUAUUUUUGAGAAAUGAAAUACACCGUAAAAAUUAGCUAAAAGUUUUAAUGCAGAGGCAGAUAACAUUAUGCCGAAUGAAAAUGAAAUUAAAUUCUUUUAUUAGCAUAUUCUUUAAUAAGCUGGAAGCUUUUUAAAUUCAAGAAGUUCACCAUGGAUAAGGAUCUUACAUCAAAGUAGAUGCAAAAUAAAAUUUUGAAAAAUGAUAUCGUAUGCUUGGUGAAGGUUCAAAAUUUAACCAAAACACACCUGAUAAACUGCCUGGUAUCCUGGAAAUUCAACUGUUGAUCCCACUGAACGGAAAAUCAUAUCUCCUUCAGGAUUACCAGUAUCAACUUGAAUCUAAAAAUGAAUAAAACAAAGUGAAAGAAACAAGUUCAGCUUAUCAUUUGCUUGAAAAUAAUAUUCGAAAAACAAUCGCUACAAAAAGAAAUGCUCCCAUUCCCAUAGCACUAGACAAAUAUGAGGGUAGAAAGUAAGGAUGUCAAUGGGUAUGGAUACCCGAAAUAUUAUCCGAACCCGAACCAGAACGGGGCGGGUUUACCCGAGCUAAACGGGUAUGGAUUCGGUUAUGGGUAUAGAAAAUAAAAACCCAACGGAUAUGGAUACGGGUAUGGAUUUUGUAUUUACCCGACACGAACCCGAACCCUAACCCGAAUAAAUUAUAUAUAAACAUACUUUAUUUUUAUUUAUUUAUAUAAUAUAUAAAAUAUUUAAUAAUUUUUAUCCCUUAGAUCUUCAUUCAACGGUAGGGAUUUUUAAAACUCGCCGGGUCCGGGUCCAGGUUCAGGUUUCGGGUUUUUGGUCAGGUACGGAUAUGGGUAUGGAUUUUUAAAACCCGCCGGGUUCGGGUCCGGGUACGGGUUUUAAUUUGGUUUUCGGGUUCAGUUUCGGGUUUUUAAAAACCCGACCCGUUGACAUCCCUAGUAGAAAGUAAGCUGGAGCUAAAGACCAAAAACAGGUCAGGAUAAAAUACUACUAGUUGCCAAUCAUCGUACAAAAAUAGUAAUGAGUUCAGACUUCAGAGUAAUAGAAAAGUACAAUUAUAUUAUUCCCCCUGCUAUAGUUAAGCACGGCAUCACAAUCUUUAGCUUAAUAUAUGCUAAAGAUACUGACUACAUAAAUAGAGAGAGAGAGAGAGAGAGAGAGAGAAAGUAAAGCUAGAAUCUAGGUGUCAUGGACACAGACACGGGGCACAACACGACUCCGAAACGGCGACUCGACGACUUCCAAAAAGUUAGGACACGGACACUGCAUAGACAUCGCUAAUAAAAUAUAAUAUUAUUAAUAUAAUAAUAUAUAUUUAUUAGAGUUGAGCUGGAAUACUAUUAAUAGUAUUUGGGCUCUUUUGCUAUUGAUUUUUUAGCCGUUAAAUCUACACUUUAAUCAAUUCUACCAUUUAGAUAAUACUAUUCAACCAACCAACUACCCACUCAACCCUAGGGGGACCACCACUAAAACCUAGGAAACCACUAUCAUCCUAACCCUGUAAUUUUUCAUCCAAGGGUUAAAAACUUAUAGCAAAAGAGCCCAAAUAUUAUUAAUAGUAUUCCAACUCAAUUCUAUUUAUUAUAUAAAAUAUUAAUUUUGCAAAAAUAUUAUUAUAUUUCUCGUACAAAAUGAAAGUUAAUAAAAUUCUCAUUGAUAGUUCAUAUAUUUUAAGAAAAAAAAUUCUCCACCAUACAUAAUCUAUUGACAUUGUCCAAAAAAAUUUAUAUGCAUUUACCAAAAAGGCAAAAUAUUUAUCAUCUUAUAUUACAUAUGCCUAAAAAAAAAAUAAUAUAUAUAUUUAAUGGGAUGCGCCAUGCACCCACGUGGAGCGUAUGCCCAUGGCGUGUCCAUGUCAAACACGAGUUCCACACAGAAGGGCGUGUACACGCAAAGCCUAUAGAAGUGCCUAUGAUACAUAGACUAUCAAUAGCAAAGGAAUAGUACUUACUACCUACUUUUUAGCCUUUGGAUGCCUUGAGUUUAAUGGGGUAAGUGGAAUAGUAUUUGAUCCAAGGGCUACAAAGUUGAUAGUAAACACAUCUACUAUUAAUAGUAGCAUAGAUGGACUUGUAUAGAGUAAAGCUAGAAUACCAUCAAUAGCAAAGGUGUUAAUAGUAGCAUAGGUUAACUUGUAUAGAGUAAAGCUAGAACACCAUCAAUAGCAAAGGUGUUGAUAGUAACAUAGAUGUACUAUCAAUAGUAUCCUAGCUGAACAAUAUAAACAUAUAUACAUAUAUAUGAUUACAAGGAAAAUAGCAAAGACAACUUCAGAAAAUAGCAGAAACCAUAUCUUGUAUUAGACUAACCACAUUAAGGAACAACUUAAAUUAAGAAAUAGAUGUGAGAAAGAGAAGUAGAGGUAAAUAUAGUAUGAUAUAGCAAUUGACUCAUUUGCUUGAAGAACAUGAUUAGAUGGGACUGCGGUGGUGGGAGCAAACAAACCAUAUUGAUUACAGAAGGUUCCAUUUGGCACGCCAUCGUCCGUGUCCAUAUAAGAGUGUACAAUUUUAGAGAAUCAUCAUCAAGUAUUCCAACCAAAGUUGCUGUAAGCAUGAGAACAAGUAAGAACAUUGUCAAUAUUAUGUUGAAAGAGUUGAAUUUGUGCAAAACAACAAGAUGAUGAAUCAAAGGAACUUAUUACAUGGCAGCCUCCUUAUGCUGGUUGGUCUGAUAGCUUCAUGAGCUUCUUGAGCAUUCUUCACCUUUCUGAAGUACUUGCGUAUAUUUUUUGAAGCAUAUUCCUUACCAUACCUGCAAGGGAAAGAAUGAAUUUUCAGUGAAAAGAAUAAAAAGGAAAAUUGAGCAACUAUACUAAAUUACAUCAAAGUUGCAUUACAGGUUAGACUGAAAAAUUACAUAAGUGGUCAGGUUAGGUUAGGUUAGGUUAGGUUUGAGCGGUCUCAGCCUGAACGCAAUUCACUGGUUAUGAAAGAGCCUAAACAAAAACCUGCCCAACUCAAUAUAAGUAGAGAAGCUCUUACAUUCAGUGACUUGCAUCUUCCAAUAACGAUUUAUAAGCAACCCUAUACUACACUUAUACGCUUGUCAUGAUGGGGCAAGUGCAAUGUCUUAAUAAAGUAUCAAAGCUCAGACCUUCAAGUUCCAAAAGCUACAGCGACUGAGGAUAGAACUUCCUAUUUUAGUUCCUCUCCAACUCAACCAUAAGUUGACCUUAAUAAGCCCAUGAAUUCCCGAAUUACAACAGAACACAGAUUCACCCAAUCUGAUAUAUCUACUAGAAAAAAGGAUAACUAUAACAUGUGAGAAGUUAUCACCUUUCUUUUACCAAGGAAUGGAUAUCUUCUGCAGCUUCACUAGAAACCUACAGGAAAAAUGAAAAGAAUUAGAAUAAAGGCAAGCCUUUCAAAAAGAUCAAGUUUUUUCAUAUUAUUUUGGAUCUAAAGUUUGCGAGAUAUAUAACGUCUAAAGGCACUAUGCUCAAUAGUUCCUCACUUCAUCCUAGCAGGAAACCAUUAAACAUCUCAAAGGCAUACAAAUAAAAAGCAUUAUUCUGCAAACGUGUGCUCACUAUAAAAGGCAUUAUUCUGCAAACUUGUGCUCACUACUCUUAUGAAUGCUCAGAACCUCAGACCUUCAAUAGAAAAACCUACAGUGCCCAAAGUUGAAAACAUGUGAUUUGUAUCUAGGAGUAAGCAUAAAAUUUAAGGAAUUUAUUGGGCGUAAUGCAUGUGACUACACAAACAUGCACACUUAUCUGCGAGGAAGUCAUCAUAAACUUCCACCGUCAUGUUAGAGAUUAAGAUAACAGAACGUUGAACUAUCAUAAAUUGAAAACGAAUGCAAUCAAGCAGCUCAAUCCUUAGGGACAACAGAAAAACACAGGGCAUGAAUAUAAACUAUCGGUAAAUGCAGAUCAAGAACAAACAGAUUAAGUUAAAUUGGGUAAUGAAUGGCAAAAAUGAUACCUACAUGUAAUCCAUCAGUUCGCAUGUAUGUUAUCAACCCCGUUGCUUCUUCAUCUGAUAGUUUGACCCCCUCAUACAGCUUCUGAGCCAGCUGCAAUUAAAUGAUGCCGUAAUAAAAAUAGUUCUUCGAUGAAAAAUCCUAUCAUCUUGGGAUAGACUUAAACAAGUAAAAUAUAACUAAAUCAGAUAAUCUUCUGAAAGUCGUUGAGUAAUUUAUGAAUAUUCAAAACGAAACCACUACUAUGAAAUAUUUAGCAAUGUUAAAGAAGCAACCAACCGCAUGUAAGACCUAAGAUUCAAUUGAAAAAUAAUGUGUAGAUGCCAAUAAUACAAGUUAUUGGCAUAGAAACUGAAACUGCAAUUAGCUAAAUGUCAAAUUAAGUAAUACUACAUCUGAAAAACAGAUCAAUCAUAUGUAUCGACUGGCUCCCCUCGAGGUCAAGCCAACAUGAGAAUUGUUUAAAUAGUUUCAAGGUAAAGUGAUAAACAAACAAGACUCUGCUAAUUGGCAUCAUAGGACCCCCUGCUUUUCUCAAAUAGCAAUUCAUGGUCAGAUUGAAAAAAUUAGAUCCCACUAAGGAAAUGAGCCUAUUUUUCAUAAAGAAAAAGGAUGCAAGAGGUCAUUAAAUCUCUGAAGAAUGAGAAACAAACCUUCAUUGUAUAAGCAGCAGUAAAGUGCAGCUUGUUAGCAGAAUCUUGCUGAAGACUUGAUGUUAUAUAAGGCAUGGGAGGAUUUUUAUAAACUUUGCUCAUUUUUACACCUAUCACUUUAAAUUUAGAGGAAGAGGCUCGUUUUUCAAUGGCCUGUGCCUCUGCUUGAGAGCCUACAGAUAGCUGAUCCAAUUUUUUGGAAUCAAAAUGAGUUAAAUAUGAAGAAAUAGAGCUUUUGUUCUUUGAAGAAUCUGAACUUGAAACUUGAAAGUCAACCCCAACACUCCAAUACUCUUGUGGAUUAAAUUGUUCAAUCUCUGUCUCCCUAUCACAUAAAAGUGCCAAGGCUGCAGAUUGGACACGGCCAGCCGACUGGCAACCAGGUAGCUUCCUCCAUAAAAGUGGUGAUAUGCUGAAACCAAUCAAGUAAUCAAGGGCGCGCCGUGCAAGAUAAGCAUUGACCAAAUUCAUAUCUAUAUCUCUGGGAGAGUGCAAAGCACUUUUGACAGAAGCCUCCGUUAUUUCAUAAAAUACGACUCUUGCCACAGUGAUAUUUCCACCUAAGGCAUCUUGUUGUUGUAGCAUUUCAGUGAUAUGCCAAGCAAUUGCUUCACCCUCACGGUCAGGAUCAGAUGCAAGAAUAAGAUUUUCCGCUCUGGGAAGAAGAACGGACGAAUGUAAGAAAAGGGUGAAUCAGAUGCACGACCUUUUUCCACAAAAGAAAUUUCUAAUGAAACCAUUGCAAACAAUGACAAAAUAAAGAAUGAAGAGUAAACUUUAACUACAUGGAGCAUAAAUAAAGGAACAGUCAUUUAGUAGUGGAGCUACCGGGCAGAUGACCUUGCUUAGCGUUCACAAUCUCCAACAGCUGAUUUUUAUGUCCUUAAGUCCAUUAGUUGACGUAUUAAGAAUGCCGAUUUAGUAGCUUUAAUGAACAAUUGCUACCAACAAUGUUGUCGCUGUCAUAGAUAAAUUGUAGAAAUCAUAGGAACGAUCAACUAGAUCAAGGACAAUAGCAUUGUCUUUUUUUAAUAAAAAUUACAAAAAUUACAAUUAAUAAAAACAGAUUUUUACAUAAGAAACAAUUGUCAAAUAUCUUAACUGGUUUAUUCAAUCAGGUUAAAUACAAAAUAAUAGCUCAACAAUGAUGACGGAUGUAAGCAAAUGCAACAGAAGAAAAAAUAAUUCAUUCCUUCAUUGAAAUAUCUGUAAAUGAAACUUUUUUCAUCUUUCAGUUGAAUCAUAUAUGGUAAUACAGAGCAUUACAGUAUGUAAUGAACUGAUUUUCAUUCAGAAAAUCUAUAAAGAAACAAAAUAUGGAGGGGAAUCAUGAAGCUCUAGUUAAUAGUAGUUAGAAAAAGGAUUAUUUCCUUACAAAUCCGUCUACUAAGGUUAGAUGGUAAUGUUGUUGCUUUCUGGUGACAAAGAUAAUUGCUUACUUAUCCCGUUUGAACCUAUAAAAGAGAUUAACUUAUCAUUGCCAUAAAUAUUUAACCUAUAGAGACAUAAUUAAGUUAGAUCCUCUGAUCUAAGGGUUUCACUAUACGUAAAAUAAAUGGAUUCUUUCUACAUUCCAAUUCAGGGAUUAUAACUCUUAUCUUAAGAACCAUUCGCAUAAGAUUUUUUAAAUCCAGAGUGUGAAUCAUACAAAUCCUAAAAAAAAAGUUUCUUACAAUUAUAAACUUAGCCACCAAUUCUUUCAAAAUGAGAUUCGUAUGUAUGCCACAAUUAUGUAGUAUGGUAAAUAAGAACCAACAUAAAGAAGCAUACCCGCUUAAUGCUACCUUAAUGCUCUUAAGAUGUGUCCAGGCAGCAGAAGGCACCUCCCAAACCAUGCUGAAGUCAUCAUCAGUCCUGACUGAUCGUGACCUAGCAGCCAAGUCUCUAACAUGACCAUAACUAGGCAGCACCUCAUACUUAUCCCCUAGAUAAUUCUGGAUGACUCUUGCUUUUGUGACUGACUCCACCACAACAACCGAUUUACCGGUUGGAGGGUAAAGAGGGUGAAGGGAAUUAUGCUGCUUCCUUCCAAACUUUGCACAUUUAACAGAAGAAUUCUGACUGCUAUUUUUAACUUCAUGAGAUGUAAUAGCCACAUUGGCUUUCUGUGCUCUUGAAGAUCUUUUCGAACUUUUAGGCUCCUUUUUAGUUCCAGAAGCACUUUUAGAUGGUAUUUCCUCCUGUUUUGAAACAGGCUUCCAAUUCUUCUUUUCUGGAGUUUUAGUAGCUUUCUUGGUCGGUUCUUUCUUUUCUCUAAGGCCUACAGCAACUUGCUCUCCACUCUGUGCAGCAAUUGCACUUCUGGUAACUGUCUUAUCAGUGCAUGCAACAUCCUUUGCGGAGUUACCGGUGAAUGCAGCAUUCGCCUCUCCAUUAAUACUGGCACAAGUGGCUAGUGAAUUUUCUCGUCUCUUUGAUCCAUGAAGCAGGUGAGAUGCACCAGGACCAUCUUCUGUUUUACUACCUUUCACAACUAAGUUAUCUUGGAAACUCUUUGAUCUGGCCACAAGUUGGAACUUCUUUUUACUCUUGGUUGAAAACAAUCUUUUGUUUCUGUGUUCACGAGCCAUCAAAUUAAAUAUAGGAGUGCUUUCAGAUCCAGAAAUGCCAAUACCGCAACUAUUGAAAUGUCUAAUAGAAUAAGAGGGCAUCUGUUUAAACUGCGGAGAAACUCUAAUAGAAAUCCCAGCAUCCAUCUUUCUCAAUGAAUUAACCUUCAGUAUUAGUUGUACAGGCUUUACAUUGGAACCAUUAAAGCCUAAUGGCGAAUAAGGCAUGCAGCUGCAUGGAAAAUUCUGCAACGCCCUAUAUUGAAGCUGCAACAAGAAACCCAAAGGCGAGACAUUUGAGCACUGAAAUAUUUGCAAUAUUUAGAUAGUUGCGCAUGAGACUGCAAGAAUCCCCAGAAGGACCAACCAUUACUUACAAGCUAUAGUGAGGCAAUAUGACAAACAAGAAAUAGGCAGAAUUACAAACCCCAAAUUUCUUGAAGCCAGCUAUGAUCAAACCCUUUCUACAACUUUAUAUGCAUUAAAUAUGUUGUCAAUGACGAAAAGCUAAUCUCCUAAGAAAAUCCUACAGAGGUUUAAAUCUUUGAAAACCUUACAGAGCUGAUACUAAAGGCUCAAACCUUCAAAGAACAUAGGAUUCUCAUUCGCUUGCCACCAUCGUUCACAAGAAUCACAAAUCAAUACAUCGCAUUCAAGAAACGGGAAAUGAUAAAAAAUGAAAAGCGUAGAUACCAUGGCUGGAGAAGAGAAACUCCUUGGUAAGCAGCUGGGGAAGAAGAGCCUACGAAGCUGGAGCGCCAUGCGAGCCCUCUGAGGAUCCGCUAAAGAUAAGAGAGGGCCCCCGAAGCUAUCACGAAGAAGGAAAAUGAGCGUAAAAACAUUAGCACACGAUUCAAGAAAUGGAGGAGAGAGCUUACAGCUGCAGCGAUGGCGAUGGUCGUACCUGAGGAUAUCUAGGGUUAGGGUUAGGGUUUUGGGGCGGCAUCAGCUGCGGAGCAUCACUACGACGACGGAGGAAGAAGAAACGGGCCAGUGUUCCGAACAGAGAGCGCUCCUCUCUCUCACUCUCUCUCUCUCUCUCUCUCUCCCUCUCUCGGGCGCGGCUUUGGAUACGCGCACAAAUGGAAAGGAGAUAUCGGUUCGUUAGGGGUUUUACUUGUGGCGAGGUUUUUAUACAUGCGGGACCGGGGGCGAAUGGACUGGUCUAGGGUUCCGGUUUAGGUUGAGACGGUUCGACCGGACCGGGUGUUGUAUUUCGGCCGGUUCAGGUUGAGUCGAGAUGUGACUCGAACCUUACUUCCUUGGCGCAACGUGAUCAGUGCGUGCUUGGGGCUUUUUUAUAAAAUGACCCUCUAAAAAAUUGUAAUUGGCAAAAUAAUCAUGUAAAAAUUUUAUUUGUAAAACUAACCCUCCUUUCGCCACGUAGGCGGCACGUCAAGAUUUUCUUAUAAAGACGGUAAAUCGUUCGCCGUUUUCUCUUAUUUCUUUUAUUUUAAAGGCGGUAAAUCGUUCACCGCUUUUUCCCAUUUCUUUUAAAGGCGGUAAAUCGUUCACCUCUUUCUCCCAUUUUUUUAAAAAACGAUAAAUCAUUCACCGCUUUUCACUUAUUUACUGUUCCUUUCUAUAUCCCAUAUAAUCUUAACAACUUUUAAAACCUAAUAAUUUAUCCAUAUAAUUUCAUAUAAAGGCAGUUAAGAUUAUAUGAAAUUAUAUAAAUAAAUUAUUAGGAUUUAAAGAUUGUUAAGAUUAUAUGUAAUUUGUUAGAAUUUUUAUGUGGUUGUUAGGAUUAUAUAAGAAAUAUAGAAAAUAACAAUAAAUAAGUUAUGGAAGAAAACGGUGAAUGAUUCACCGCCUUUAAAAGAAAUGGGAGAACGCGGUGAACGAUUCACCGUCUUUAAAUGAAAUAGGAGAAAAGAGGAUUAAUUUUACAAAUAAAAUUUUGAGUGGAUUAUUUCGCAAAUUUUAAAAUUUUAGAGGGUUGUUUUAUAAAAAAGUCCGCGUGCUUGUCGCUGUUUAAAAAGUGGGCGAAAAUGAGAAUAAAUGAAAAGAAAGAGAUGGAACAAGUGAGCAAGGUUUGCACACUUACUAUUUUAAAUUGUCUUCAUAGUAUUCUUUACAAUUGUAAUGCUUUUAUAUGCAAGUUGUUAUUAAAUUAUAAAUUAUAUCAAAUAAUUUAUCUACUGAUUUGAAUACUUCGGAUAAUGGAUAGGAUAAAUAUUUGGAAUCAAAAAAAAAAAAAGGUUGAAACUAGGCCAAUUUGUAUCUGAUGAGAAUGUGGCGUGGUUAAAAUUACAGAGCAAUACCUAUUUGUACAUGUAAAUUUUAUAAUCUAUUUUAUCUAAAGAUUAAUAUUUUUGCAGUAAACUAGUUAUUUCUUUUAAUAUGAAAAAUUAAAUGAAUAGGUAUAAAUUUUGCACUCUCUAUUUGAGUACACAAGUGGCACUUAAAAUUAUAAUGAGUAAAUAAAUGGUAUAUGCACACCUGAUCAUAUUAUUAUGGAAAGCAUAAAGUUUGAUAGAUGAUCUAUUAAAAUCCUGUUUGUUUAUCCAUCCAUUAUCUCCGAAGCUUCAGAAAUAUCUUUGUAGAUUGAGCUUUAGAAAGUGGAGAAACCUGCUUCAAUUAUUUGCAGCUCCUUCCCAGUGGCGCAUAACAAUAUUACUUUACUGUCUAUUUUGUUCCCAUUUGUCUACCUAUACCAAAUAUAUUAUCUGAGAAUUCUCUCUUAUUCGACAUAUUCUUUAUUUUUAAGUAUGUAAAUAUUUUACCGACUGUCUCUAGCACGAGUGGUAAAAAACUUAGUAGUUGGUAUUCGAGAUCGAAAAUUCAAAGCAUAUUUGCUUUAUAUUUUCAGUUAGAUUCAUUUAUUUAAAAUAAAAUAAUAAAAUAGAUAAAAUGCUAUUUUUCUCUAAAAAAUACAUAUAAUAUUUUUAAUCUAAUAAUUUAUCUCUUAGGCUCAUUCUAAAUAAUAAAAAUAAUAAUAACUAACGUAUAGAGGAGGAAGUUGAGAGUAGAUGAAGUAGAGCUCUAACGUAACUUGAGUUACAUUAUAUUUUUCACCUAGGGGCCUGUUUGUUUCGACGGAAGUGGGGUGGAAGUGGGACGGGGAAAGUGAUUUUCGGUGAAAACUAACCACUUCCGCUGUUUGGUUCACCGUAAGUUUAUUACGCCCGAAAGUUCAGUUCACCCAAAAUAAGGAACUUGACUUCGCCCUCCCAUGGGGCGAAGUCAAUUUCGGUGAAGUGAAAAAAAGGCAAGANAAAAUAUGAUCAAAUUUGAUUAGGUAAACUUUAAUAUAUUUUUUGUUUAAUUUGUAUAUUUAGAAAAUGAUGAAAAAUGAAUUUGUUAAAUGUUAAUAAUUUUUUAACUUUAGAAUUUUAUUUGUUGCAUUAUUAUAAUUUAUAUGCAAACAAAUAAUAUAAUUUUUUAAAAUUUUAUUUUAUAAUUAUACAUAUAUAUAAUUAUAUACAUAUAUAAUUAUAUUAAUUUUUAUUUAUUAUAAUUUAUUAUUCACUAUAAGUUAUAAAAUAGACAAUAAUAUCACUUUGGAGGUAAGUAUACCGGGGGUGGAGAGCUACACUUUUUACGUCAUCUACUUCCUACCAAACAAACAACAGAACUCGCAGAACUGCACUUCCACAGUUAAAAACAAACAGCAGAAGUAAACUAAUUUUCACCCCAACUCCACUUCAACCCAAAGUCCACUUCCACCCCAAGUCUACUUACGUUGAAACAAAUAUGCCCCUAUACAAAAACAAAUAACGAAAGUGAUGGAACUUGAGUUCCAUCACUCCACUUACACCAAAACAAAC
rnacentral:lncRNA from 1 species